rnacentral:tRNA from 1 species
GUUGACGUGGGGGAAUUGGCAGACCCGCUGUGGACGCACAGAGUUUGAUAGUUCAAAUCUAUCCGUUAGCACCA